ACGACGGCUACUGGACUCCGUGCCCGAUGUUGCGGUCCUGGCGCCUAAUGCUGUUUCUGGCUAUCUUCAUGCUGUCGGCCAUGGGAACCAUCACCAAGGAGCCCUCCGACCAAAACUGGCCGUGCACCAAAAAAGGUUUAAUAUGUGAUUUGCAUGAAGAUUGCUGCAGUAAACGCUGCACGGUUAAGUACAAGAUCGAUCC